rnacentral:lncRNA from 1 species
AUGUCAUUAAGUAAUAAGUUUAAGUCUUGGCCCUUCAGCAGAAUGGAGCUGGUGGAGGAAAUUCCCAGGGUUUUAGGAGCCAGGAACUUUGGACAAAGACCGAACAGGACACUGCUUAAGAAUCACUGUGGACCUCUUCUUCCCAGCUCAGAGGUUUCAAUACUCAAUAUUCUAAGAAUGAAGUGACAUCAGAGAAGUAAUUGCUAUAGCACAAGAUGUUGAAAAGGUGAAUAAUAAAAAUCAGAUGGAUUUCUUGGACGGGAAAUCAGU